UCCAAGUAUAUUAAGCUGACUAGAUUGUAGUGAGAGGAGACUGGAGGUUGGGAAACCACUUAGGUUUUCAUGGAAAUCAGGCAAAGAUUGUUCUCCUGAUGAAAAAGUAGAGAGAGAAGUUAGCCCAAAUCCAUACAGAAUGGGAGGGAAUAGAAAGAAGACAAAAAUAGAAGAAAAAAGAAACCAUCACAGCUGCUACAAAGUGAGAAAUUUCCUCCACCAUAUUGUCUCCUCCCCCAUGAUGUUCUACUUCAUCACAGGCCCAGAAAAAACUAAGCCAAGUGACCAUGGACUGAAACUGUUGAAACUGAGAAACAAAGGCUGAACAGUGAAGACAACUCCAGACUCUUACCAGCCUGGAGAUGCUACCAGAGGAAUCGCACGCCAAACUCCGUCUAUUUGCCUUCAUGAAUUUGCUGUCCCUGGAGACUCAACGCCCUUCUCCUUUGCCUUGGCGUUUCUCUAUAAGUUUACUUCUUUGUGAAAGAUGCUGUGUAAAUGGACAGUUCUAAGUUGCUCUUUGAGAAUUACUCAUUUCCUGGGCUCUUUUGAGCAAGCAUAUGUAAAGUUUGUAUCUCAAUAAAAUUUUAUUUUUCUCUUGUUAACCGUUCUUUUGUUGUAGGAAUCUAACCCAGCUAAGAACUCAGAAGGAUAGAAAAUUAU